rnacentral:rRNA from 1 species
UACGGAGGGUGCAAACGUUGCUCGGAAUCAUUGGGCGUAAAGCGCACGUAGGCGGUCUGUUAAGUCGGAUGUGAAAGCCCUCGGCUCAACCGAGGAAGUGCAUACGAAACUGGCGGACUUGAAUAUGGAAGAGGGUCGCGGAAUUCCCGGUGUAGAGGUGAAAUUCGUAGAUAUCGGGAGGAACACCAGUGGCGAAGGCGGCGACCUGGGCCAAUAUUGACGCUGAGGUGCGAAAGCUAGGGGAGCAAACGGG